rnacentral:rRNA from 1 species
AACCCAAAGGACUUGACGGUACCCCACCCAACUAGAGGAGCCUGUUCUAUAAUCGACAACCCACGAUAUACCCAACCAUUUCUUGCCUUCAGCCUGUAUACCUCCGUCGUAAGCUUACCCUGUAGACGUACAAUAGUAGGCCCAAGGACUAAACGCCAUAACGUCAGGUCAAGGUGCAGCUUAUGUAAUGGAAGCAAUGGGCUACAAUUUCUAACCUAGAACAAGCCGAACACUGUAUGAAACACAGUUACAAGAAGGAUUUAGUAGUAAAUAAGAAAUAGAGAGCCUUAUUAAACCCGGCCCUGGGGUGCGUACAAACCGCCCGUCACCCUCUUCAAUAG